rnacentral:tRNA from 1 species
GGAGCCGUGGUCUAGUGGUUAUGACGCCGCUCUUACACAGCGGACAUCGAGAGUUCAAUUCUCUCCGGCUCCA